UGGAGGAAUGUGCCUUACUAUGCCCCUGCUGUAAAUCAUUAUAGAUCCAUAUCGCUGUAGAAGUUCAUUCGCCGCCCCAGGUCCCCGACUCUCUGAGGUCGACAAGUGGCGAUGGAACAGGGACCUGAAGCCCCCAUCAAGGAGUGAUCCGCCAGCGCUAGGAACCCUACAGACGGUGGAUACUGCACCCUCAAAAAAUGAAUGAGUGCCCAAAAUCUCCAUCACAGAGUGCUUACGACAGCGGCUAAUUUGAAAAAAGAAAGGGGGAGCUGUGGGAAACAGAACGCCACAACGACCACUGGUGCAUGUUUGCUCAGACUCCGAGAUCUCUGAGAAAACUCGAGAUUGCAGGGUUAAAA